rnacentral:rRNA from 1 species
UACGUAGGGUGCGAGCGUUAAUCGGAAUUACUGGGCGUAAAGCGUGCGCAGGCGGUUUUGUAAGACAGACGUGAAAUCCCCGGGCUUAACCUGGGAACUGCGUUUGUGACUGCAAGACUAGAGUGUAGCAGAGGGGGGUAGAAUUCCACGUGUAGCAGUGAAAUGCGUAGAUAUGUGGAGGAAUACCAAUGGCGAAGGCAGCCCCUGGGUUAACACUGACGCUCAUGCGCGAAAGCGUGGGGAGCAAACAGGAUUAGAACCGUACCGUAGUACCGUCCGU